rnacentral:rRNA from 1 species
CUAACAGAUCACUCGCUUGGAAUGAACGUAACUUAAGAAAUUCGAUGAGAAACAACUGGAGGGCAAGUCCUGGUGCCAGCAGCCGCGGUAAUUCCAGCUCCAGUAGUUUGCUUUAAAGUUGUUGCGUUUAAAACGCUCGUAGUUGGAUCACGCAGCGGUGGUGAGUAAUCUUUUGCGACGGGAUGGUAAAUGAGCCCGUUUUGCGACGGCCAUGAAUCAAACUAAGCAAAAGGUAAAAAUGCUGAUCAUCGCUAGUUGCACGUGAGAUAGAUUGUUGGCCUUUGAUGUGCCGAUAUUCUGGUCUUGCGGAGUGUGCCUUGAAUAACAGAGUGCUUAAAGCAGGUCGUUGCCUGAAUGUUAUAGCAUGGAACGAACAAUCGUGUUUAUGUGUACGCCUACUGAUGGUAGCGCCUUUGGUUUGUUGUUAUUGGAGACGUGCACGGCACCACCAAAUAUGGCUGUUGGUUCCAUAUACGGUGAUGAUUAACAGGAGCGUUGGGGCAUCGGUAUUUGGCCGCGAGAGGUGAAAUUCUUAGACCGGCCAAGGACUAACAAUGCAAAGGCACUUGUCUAGACCGUUUCCAUUAAUCAAGAACGAAAGUGGGAGGUUCGAAGACGAUCAGAUACCGUCCUAGUUCCCACCGUAAACUAUGCCGACCUGGGAUCAGUUCAGAGAUGUUACAAGCUCUGGAUUGGUCCCCCUGGGAAACCUGAAGUUUUCGGUUACGGGGAAAGUAUGGUCGCAAGGCUGAAACUUAAAGGAAUUGACGGAAGGGCACCACCAGGGGUGGAGCCUGCGGCUUAAUUUGACUCAACGGGAAACUUACCUGGUCCGGACAUCGAUAGGAUUAACAGAUCAAUAGCUCUUUAUGAUACG